AAAUGCAGCAAGAUGUCUUGUUGGGACUCUCUUGUGGGUCUCACAACUCAGAAGCACCAAAUAUUCCACAUGAGUUCAUGGGCACUCUCCACCACAUGGCCAGUGAGCUGUGCAACAAGAAGAAAUGAUGACCAUAUAUGAACACUAAUGUAAACAUAUGUUUUGACCUCCAAGAACUCAGAGUGUUCCACUCCAUCAGCUGUAAAGAAACUGGUGUGACCCAGAGGAUGGCCAGACCCUCAAUGGUAAGAUAUGUAGGCAUGUCCCAGCAGCUCAAUUGAAAGAAGCUUUUGUCACUUAAAAAAAUAGUGUGAGUGGGCCUGAGCCUGACCCUGAAAGGCUGAGAGGAUUGCAAAAAGUAAUGUGGUGCUGAGAUGAUUCCUAACAAUGAAGCCUAUUGUUAUAUUUGGCCUGGGCCCAAAAUGAGGAGAGAUGUGGGCCAGGGCUACCCUAAAACCUGAAGAGUCCCAAGCCAAAAGAAGAAGAAAUGUAUAGAUAGGUCCUAUACCUAUCUAUAAACUUAAAGAGGCCCAGGCUGAAAAAAGAGAUGUGGGCCUGGGCCUAUCCCCAACCCUGAAGAGGCCUGGGCACAAACAAGAAGAGGUGUGGGUCUGGGCCUACUCUUGAACCUGAAGAGCAACAGCAGCAACAACAACAGAGGCAGCAACAACAGUAAUAGCAGCUACAACAACAAGAACAACAGCUACAACCACAGCUACAACAACAGCAGGAACAACAACAAUAUCAGCAGCUACACCAAAGCAGCAGCAGCAGCAGCAGCAGCAACAACCACCACUUCUGUUAGCUCCUUUCACAAGCUGAACUGCUGCUCACUCCUUCCUCCUAGACAAGACUUGACAGAGGUCAUACCUUCUCUCUUUGAGAACCAACGAGGAAAACUGAAAUGAAAUUAUAAAUAUAUAGAAAACAACUAUAAGAACCUGUUGUUUUAAUUCUGCUCUGCAUCUAUUAUACAGUAAUGCUUAUAAAAUUAGAAGAGAAAGAAUGAAACCAAAUAUAAACAGACAUACGCUAGAACAAGUAACAGCAAGACCCCAAGAAGCCAUAGCUGAGCACAGGAAUGCAUCUGUGUAAACCUGGCAAUUAGGAAGCUGAGUUCCAGUCCAGGCUGUGCUACAGAAUAAGGCUCAGACUCAAAAAACGUAAAUAAAUAUGUUUUG